rnacentral:lncRNA from 1 species
AACUCACGGCACAAUGAGGGAUGUUUGGGUGAAUGGUGUAGUGAAAAUAUGGUAGAGGAUGGUGACUAAAUGGUGCAGCAAAGGAUGGUAUUUAUAGGCUGAAAUUCGCAGCCCCUAUGUAGCAAAGGAAAAGGAUUUAAAGGCCUAAUUUGUAUAGGAUAAUAACACACAAUCCUUGAAGGAAAAGGCUAAGGCUUUUAGAAACCAAGGGGGAAAGGAAUAAUC